rnacentral:rRNA from 1 species
CCAGACUCCUGCGGGAGGCAGCAGUGAGGAAUAUUGGUCAAUGGGCGGAAGCCUGAACCAGCCAAGUCGCGUGAGGGAUUAAGGCCCUGCGGGUCGUAAACCUCUUUUGCCGGGGAGCAGAGGUCCGGACGUGUCCGGGCCGGGAGAGUACCCGGAGAAAAAGCAUCGGCUAACUCCGUGCCAGCAGCCGCGGUAAUACGUAGGGAGCAAGCGUUGUCCGGAAUUACUGGGCGUAAAGGGCGCGUAGGUGGGUGCUUAAGUCAGGUGUGAAAACUCUGGGCUCAACCUGGAGACUGCACUUGAAACUGGGUAUCUUGAGGGCAGGAGAGGAAAGUGGAAUUCCUAGUGUAGCGGUGAAAUGCGUAGAUAUUAGGAGGAACACCAGUGGCGAAGGCGACUUUCUGGACUGUAACUGACGUUGAGGCACGAAAGUGUGGGGAGCAAACAGGAUUAGAUACCCCUGUAA